AUGCUGAUCAACCUAGCUCAGUUACCGUUUGGCGUAUCAAUUGGUGGAGCUGGCGCACCGGCUCUGGCUCCAGCUGCGAUGCCAUCUUGGAUCGAACUGUUGAAUAAGUGGGAGAUCCAAAGUAUUGUUGUCAUCAGCUUCAGUCUGCAGGUUAUCCUCUUCUUCCUCGCAGAUAUACGCCACUACAGCGUCUCGUCUGUUCUCAAGGUGCUCCUCUGGCUGGUAUACCUGCUCGCCGAUCUUGUUGCAAUGUAUGGCCUGGGGCACAUGUCCUCGUCGCUAUCGAAUAAAUCGUCCGAGGAGCACAAGCUGGUGCUGUACUGGGCGCCGUUCCUCCUGCUGCACCUUGGUCGCCAGCACACCAUCACCGCGUACGUCUUGGAGGACAAUAAACUCUGGCUACGCCACCUGCUAAACAUGUUUGUGCAGGUUGCUGCCACCGCAUAUGUGCUCUACAAGUACAUGAAAGCAGGCGGGGUGCCCAAGUAUGAACUAUGA
rnacentral:rRNA from 1 species